rnacentral:rRNA from 1 species
GACGUAGGAUGCAAGCGUUGUCCGGAUUUAUUGGGCGUAAAGAGUUCGUAGGCGGUUAUUUAAGUCUGAUGUUAAAUACUGUGGCCCAACCACAGAACUGCAUUGGAUACUGGAUGACUUGAGUGCGGUAGAGGCAAGUGGAAUUCCCAGUGUAGCGGUGAAAUGCGUAGAUAUUGGGAAGAACACCAGUGGCGUAAGCGACUUGCUGGCCCGUAACUGACGCUGAGGAACGAAAGCCAGGGGAGCGAAUGGG